rnacentral:tRNA from 2 species
GCUCCGUUGGCUCAGUUGGUUAGAGCACCGUGUUCACAUCGCGGGGGUCGCUGGUUCGAGUCCAGCACGGAGCACCA